GAUGAACGCUGGCGGCGUGCCUAAUACAUGCAAGUCGAGCGAACAGACGAGGAGCUUGCUCCUUUGACGUUAGCGGCGGACGGGUGAGUAACACGUAGGUAACCUACCUAUAAGACUGGGAUAACUUCGGGAAACCGGAGCUAAUACCGGAUAAUAUUUCGAACCGCAUGGUUCGAUAGUGAAAGAUGGCUUUGCUAUCACUUAUAGAUGGACCUGCGCCGUAUUAGCUAGUUGGUAAGGUAACGGCUUACCAAGGCAACGAUACGUAGCCGACCUGAGAGGGUGAUCGGCCACACUGGAACUGAGACACGGUCCAGACUCCUACGGGAGGCAGCAGUAGGGAAUCUUCCGCAAUGGGCGAAAGCCUGACGGAGCAACGCCGCGUGAGUGAUGAAGGUCUUCGGAUCGUAAAACUCUGUUAUUAGGGAAGAACAAACGUGUAAGUAACUGUGCACGUCUUGACGGUACCUAAUCAGAAAGCCACGGCUAACUACGUA
rnacentral:rRNA from 1 species